CAGUGCCUGCCUCGGCAUGGUCCAGCAGUCAUAGGAAGAGCAGCGCCAAUGGGGAGGGAAGUGGUGCAUCUGGAAUUCCUUGGAAUGAGUCAAGGAUGGCUGAUCCUGCUUCCAGUGCCAGAAACAUGCCAGAUCCGGAGAAGCAUAAGAUGACUUCCUGGGAUAAAUCUGCUCUGAAGUUUCCAGCAUCUCCUUCAAACAGAAGUGAGCAAGACGAAAUCGACCCCCAAGCCACACUGAGUACUGAAACAC